UACGUAGGGGGCAAGCGUUGUCCGGAAUCAUUGGGCGUAAAGCGCGUGUAGGCGGUUCGGUAAGUCUGCUGUGAAAGUCCAGGGCUCAACCCUGGGAUGCCGGUGGAUACUGUCGGACUAGAGUACGGAAGAGGCGAGUGGAAUUCCCGGUGUAGCGGUGAAAUGCGCAGAUAUCGGGAGGAACACCAAUUGCGAAGGCAGCUCGCUGGGACGUUA
rnacentral:rRNA from 1 species